rnacentral:piRNA from 1 species
UACUAACUGUGGGAAGAUGUCUACAUC